rnacentral:lncRNA from 10 species
CUUUCCCCAAUCUGUGAAGUAGCUAAUAAUAUAGAACAAAAUGCUCAAGAGAAUGAAAAUGAAAGCCAAGUUUCAACAGAUGAAAGUGAGAACUCCAGGUCUCCUGGAAAUAAAUCAGAUAACAUCAAGCCCAAAUCUGCUCCAUGGAACUCUUUUCUCCCUCCACCACCCCCCAUGCCAGGGCCAAGACUGGGACCAGGAAAGAAAGGAAAUGAGAAAAAUCCAGAGGUUGUCAUUUGACUUAUGAGUCUGUUUGACUUCAGGAUUUGGUACAUGAAAUUUCACUUAAUCUUUUUGAUAUGUAUAAAACAAAUAUUCUGGCCAGGUCUAAAAUUCAAUGGCCCACCACCGCCACCGCCACCACCACCACCCCACUUACUAUCAUGCUGGCUGCCUCCAUUUCCUUCUGGACCACCAGUAA